GUUACUUCAAUUUGUAUGGAGUUGGAACAACGCCCCUAGCGGCAAACGAAGGCAAACGUUCCUACUACAUACAAAUUUGAGUUA
rnacentral:pre_miRNA from 1 species